rnacentral:rRNA from 1 species
UACGAAGGGGGCUAGCGUUGCUCGGAAUCACUGGGCGUAAAGCGCACGUAGGCGGAUUCUUAAGUCAGGGGUGAAAUCCUGGAGUUCAACUCCAGAACUGCCUUUGAUACUGAGGGUCUUGAGUUCGGGAGAGGUGAGUGGAACUGCGAGUGUAGAGGUGAAAUUCGUAGAUAUUCGCAAGAACACCAGUGGCGAAGGCGGCUCACUGGCCCGAUACUGACGCUGAGGUGCGAAAGCGUGGGGAGCAAACGGG